rnacentral:rRNA from 1 species
GACGAACGCUGGCGGCGUGCUUAACACAUGCAAGUCAAACGGAAAGGCCCUGCUUUUGUGGGGUGCUCGAGUGGCGAACGGGUGGGUAACACGUGAGUAACCUGCCCUUGACUUUGGGAUAACUUCAGGAAACUGGGGCUAAUACCGGAUAGGAGCUCCUGCUGCAUGGUGGGGGUUGGAAAGUUUCGGCGGUUGGGGAUGGACUCGCGGCUUAUCAGCUUGUUGGUGGGGUAGUGGCUUACCAAGGCUUUGACGGGUAGCCGGCCUGAGAGGGUGACCGGCGAAAUUGGGACUGAGAUACGGCCCAGACUCCUACGGGAGGCAGCAGUGGGGAAUAUUGCACAAUGGGCGGAAGCCUGAUGCAGCAACGCCGCGUGCGGGAUGACGGCCUUCGGGUUGUAAACCGCGUUCGCCUGUGACGAAGCGUGAGUGACGGUAAUGGGUAAAGAAGCACCGGCUAACUACGUG